AGUCGUACGCACUGGCCCACUGAUUGAUGGUGCUUGCGCCUGAUUGACGAUGGAUCACCAGUGAGUGGCGGACGGGUGAGUAACACGUAGGUAACCUGCCCCAGAGCGGGGGAUAACAUUUGGAAACAGAUGCUAAUACCGCAUAACAACAAAAGCCACAUGGCUUUUGUUUGAAAGAUGGCUUUGGCUAUCACUCUGGGAUGGACCUGCGGUGCAUUAGCUAGUUGGUAAGGUAACGGCUUACCAAGGCGAUGAUGCAUAGCCGAGUUGAGAGACUGAUCGGCCACAAUGGAACUGAGACACGGUCCAUACUCCUACGGGAGGCAGCAGUAGGGAAUCUUCCACAAUGGGCGCAAGCCUGAUGGAGCAACACCGCGUGAGUGAAGAAGGGUUUCGGCUCGUAAAGCUCUGUUGUUGGAGAAGAACGUGCGUGAGAGUAACUGUUCACGCAGUGACGGUAUCCAACCAGAAAGUCACGGCUAACUACGUGCCAGCAGCCGCGGUAAUACGUAGGUGGCAAGCGUUAUCCGGAUUUAUUGGGCGUAAAGCGAGCGCAGGCGGUUGCUUAGGUCUGAUGUGAAAGCCUUCGGCUUAACCGAAGAAGUGCAUCGGAAACCGGGCGACUUGAGUGCAGAAGAGGACAGUGGAACUCCAUGUGUAGCGGUGGAAUGCGUAGAUAUAUGGAAGAACACCAGUGGCGAAGGCGGCUGUCUGGUCUGCAACUGACGCUGAGGCUCGAAAGCAUGGGUAGCGAACAGGAUUAGAUACCCUGGUAGUCCAUGCUGUAAACGAUGAGUGCUAGGUGUUGGAGGGUUUCCGCCCUUCAGU
rnacentral:rRNA from 1 species